UUUUUUUUUUUUUUUUUUUACUUCUUUUUUACUUUUUUUAUGGUCUUUGGAUAUCACCCAUGAGAAAAUAAAAGUUGAAGUCAAGAGUAAGCAUCAGACAAAAAGAGUUAACUUAAUUUUUUACUUCUAUCUCUCAAGAUCGGUAACCAAUAGAAAAAUCCAUAAAUCAAAGUGUUUCCGAAAUGGGAUAUCAAACUGACGGAAUCGUCUUUUCGUAACAUAUUCCCCACAAAGACAAACUCAAACAAAUGAAUGCCAGCAAGGAUCUUGAAAAAAAACUUUGCUUUUGAUGAAUAUUCAUCAGCUGCGAGUAAAACUAC
rnacentral:ribozyme from 13 species